CCUACGGGGGGCAGCAGUGGGGAAUAUUGGACAAUGGGGGGAACCCUGAUCCAGCCAUGCCGCGUGUGUGAAGAAGGCCCUCGGGUUGUAAAGCACUUUCAGUGAGGAAGAACGCCUGGUGGUUAAUACCCAUCAGGAAAGACAUCACUCACAGAAGAAGCACCGGCUAACUCCGUGCCAGCAGCCGCGGUAAUACGGAGGGUGCGAGCGUUAAUCGGAAUUACUGGGCGUAAAGCGCGCGUAGGUGGCUUGAUAAGCCGGUUGUGAAAGCCCCGGGCUCAACCUGGGAACGGCAUCCGGAACUGUCAAGCUAGAGUGCAGGAGAGGAAGGUAGAAGUCCCGGUGUAGCGGUGAAAUGCGUAGAGAUCGGGAGGAAUACCAGUGGCGAAGGCGGCCUUCUGGACUGACACUGACACUGAGGUGCGAAAGCGUGGGUAGCAAACAGGAUUAGAUACCCUGGUAGUC
rnacentral:rRNA from 1 species